rnacentral:rRNA from 1 species
CCCGAAACCAGGUGAUCUACCCAUGUCCAGGGUGAAGGUAAGGUAACACUUACUGGAGGCCCGAACCCACGCACGUUGAAAAGUGCGGGGAUGAGGUGUGGGUAGCGGAGAAAUUCCAAUCGAACUUGGAGAUAGCUGGUUCUCUCCGAAAUAGCUUUAGGGCUAGCCUCGUGAUGAGAAUACUGGAGGUAGAGCACUGUUUGGACUAGGGGGCCAUCCCGGUUUACCGAAUUCAGACAAACUCCGAAUGCCAGAUAUUUAUACACGGGAGUCAGACUGCGAGUGAUAAGAUCCGUAGUCAAGAGGGAAACAGCCCAGAUCGCCAGCUAAGGUCCCAAAGUGUGUAUUAAGUGGAAAAGGAUGUGGAGUUGCUUAGACAACUAGGAUGUUGGCUUAGAAGCAGCCAUCAUUUAAAGAGUGCGUAAUAGCUCACUAGUCGAGUGACUCUGCGCCGAAAAUGUACCGGGGCUAAAUACACCACCGAAGCUGCGAAUUGAUACCAAUGGUAUCAGUGGUAGGGGAGCGUUCUAAGUGCAGUGAAGUCAGACCGGAAGGACUGGUGGAGCGCUUAGAAGUGAGAAUGCCGGUAUGAGUAGCGAAAGACGGGUGAGAAUCCCGUCCACCGAAUGCCUAAGGUUUCCUGAGGAAGGCUCGUCCGCUCAGGGUUAGUCGGGACCUAAGCCGAGGCCGACAGGCGUAGGCGAUGGACAACAGGUUGAUAUUCCUGUACCACCUCUUUAUCGUUUGAGCAAUGGGGGGACGCAGUAGGAUAGGGUAAGCGCGCUGUUGGUUAUGCGCGUCCAAGCAGUAAGGCGUGUGUGUAGGCAAAUCCGCACACUGUAACGUUGAGCUGUGAUGGCGAGUCCGUAUGGACGAAGUUCCUGAUUUCACACUGCCAAGAAAAGCGUCUAGCGAGGUGAAAGGUGCCCGUACCGCAAACCGACACAGGUAGGCGAGGAGAGAAUCCUAAGGUGUGCGAGAGAACUCUCGUUAAGGAACUCGGCAAAAUGACCCCGUAACUUCGGGAGAAGGGGUGCUCUUGAGCGUGCAAGCGCAUGAGAGCCGCAGUGAAUAGGCCCAGGCGACUGUUUAGCAAAAACACAGGUCUCUGCAAAAC